rnacentral:piRNA from 1 species
UCACUGCUACUAUAUCUCCUGGGGAUGGG